AGUGACACCGCCCCUUCUCCCCCUCCUCUCCGGCGACCCCUCGAAAAAAAAAAUCCUCCUCACCGGAGGUUCUCCCCCGCUCCCAAACGCCGCCGUCCAGUCUCGCCCGGGCCCGGCGGAUCGUCGGAGGGUUCGACGCUUAGGGGCCGCCAUGCAGACCCUCCCCUCCUCGCAGCUGCGGCCAGUGCCGGUGCCAGUCCCAGCACCGCCGCCGCCUCGUCCACUCCGCCUCCAAAACUCUGUUCCGAUUCUAUUUCCGGUGCUCGGGGUGAAUUGAUUUUCCGAGUCUGUAUUAAGCCGCCGGGUUUGGGGAAUUCCAGGCUCGACGUCGAGGCAAGCAUCGACCAGGGGACAUCAUACUUGGCUGAUGAGCAGCAGAAGGGUGGCAUUUGGGAGCUCUUCAGCGAGGCUCAGCGGAAUAUCAUGUAUCUUCACAAACAGCGGCCUGUGUCCAUGGAGGAGCUGAAGAAAUUGCAGGAUGAAAAUAAAUCACUUCUUCAGGAAAUGGAGAUACUAGAGAUGGAAAGGCAGUAUGCGGUGAAAAACUUUCCUGUUAGCAGAAAAUAAGUAGUUGGAACCAGAAUGUGAAAUUUAAGCCAUGAGUACAGAUAUUCCAAGUAAUGGAUCCAGAAGAAACACCAAGAAGGUGUGAAGAGUACAGAAGAACUAGGCCAGAACAGACUGUACAGACGAACUAGGCUACAACAGAAGCUCGUACUAUGGAUCAAUGCAACCUGCCGGUCAUGACUACUGCAAUACAGCUACGCCUGAGUACAUAAUCUCUACAUAUGGAGACAUGUCUCUUUCUCAAGUUCUUUUUUUUUUUGACGGAGCUUUCUCAAGUUCUUGGCGACAUCGUAAGUUGACAAUCUCCAGGGAACUAGCUAUUAUUUUUACAAAACAGGGUACUAGAUCUCAUGUCACGGUACUGUAAGUUACUGAUUUAUGUGUGACUAAUUAUCUCCACAUAAAGCAAUGAAGGGACGUUUUGAACCAUCAGCAUAAACCAAGUUUGCAAUUACUCCGCCGGGAAGCAAAAUCUUUCUCUGAAUAAGUUAUAUUCUGAACUUCUUUUUUCUUAACAUAGCCAACAUAGGCCAGUCUAGGACAUAUCAAACAUAAUUUGCUCUCCAUUGUGUAGAAGACUGACCGUUCCUGGUGGGAUUUGCGGAUGAAGGAUGCAGUGGCAAUCGGUUUAUCAUGGGAUGCAAAGUGCUAUGCAAUACAUUGGGAAGCUUAUUCAUGUAUAAGGAAGCUCUGACAUCAGGAAAGUUCGUGACUCGCUAUCCCUCCAAUUGAAAAGGUACAACUUUUUAGAAAUAGUAACAACGUGCAGUUUUUGCACAUAAACCACCUUGUAAGUUUAGUUUGUAUGUUGCCUGCAAAUCAAGUUGGUAGUUUUUCUCAUAGUAGUUGCCUAGUUAAUAAAUGGAAAAAGAUGAGUUGCAAAUCCCUUUUAUAAAUUAUGUAAUUUUUCCAUCCUAAUAAAUUAU